GAUGAACGCUGGCGGCGCGCCUAACACAUGCAAGUCGAACGAUUAAAGCACCUUCGGGUGUGUAUAAAGUGGCGAACGGCUGAGUAACACGUGGGCAACCUGCCCCUUUCAUUGGGAUAGCCACGGGAAACCGUGGAUAAUACCGAAUACUUCGAGACUUCCGCAUGGAAGACUCGAGAAAGCUCCGGCGGAGAGGGAUGGGCCCGCGGCCUGUUAGCUUGUUGGUGGGGUAACGGCCUACCGAGGCAAUGAUGGGUAGCUGGGUUGAGAGACCGACCAGCCAGAUUGGGACUGAGACACGGCCCAGACUCCUACGGGAGGCAGCAGUGGGGAAUCUUGCACAAUGGGCGAAAGCCUGAUGCAGCGACGCCGCGUGCGGGAUGAAGGCCUUCGGGUUGUAAACCGCUUUCAGCAGGGACGAGGCGAAAGUGACGGUACCUGCAGAAGAAGCCCCGGCUAACUACGUG
rnacentral:rRNA from 1 species